AGACAAGUUUGCAAUCUGAUGCCGUUGUCUGAUGUGCUGGUUACCCACCGUUUGCCCAGAGAGAGCUUCCUAUACAUGAAAAGAGACCACUCUGAAUUGUUUAAAGUCUAAAUUGUGACAAUUGUGAAGAACACAGGGCUGCCUGCCAUAGACUGUCAGAAAUCCACUAAUGGCUGUGCUGAGUCCAUGGGCAGCUGUGGUUUGGGGCACAAAUUAACAAACACACAUUACACAGUCCGCUGAUCCAGAAAAUGUGCUGGACUGGUUUCCCACCUCUCAUAUCUCUUCUCCAUCCUCUGUAGGACCCAGAGGCCCCCCACCUAUAGGCUCAUCCCUGCUCUGGGUUCUGGGACCAAUCUUGUCCUUAGGGGGAAAUUUAAAGAGACAGAUUUGGGUAACUGAGGUGACCCGGGCUCAAGUCGGUUUAGCUCAGAUACUUGGAAUGGUAGGCCUGGAAAGGAACCUUGUGAAGAUUGCUCUUUCUAGGAUUUAUUCCUGUGUCACUGGUUUUGCAUUUUGUUUGAGAAAGAGAUACAGAGGAAGGUGAUGGGGG
rnacentral:lncRNA from 10 species